UGCAGUCGAACGGUAACAGGAAGCAGCUUGCUGCUUUGCUGACGAGUGGCGGACGGGUGAGUAAUGUCUGGGAAACUGCCUGAUGGAGGGGGAUAACUACUGGAAACGGUAGCUAAUACCGCAUAACGUCGCAAGACCAAAGAGGGGGACCUUCGGGCCUCUUGCCAUCGGAUGUGCCCAGAUGGGAUUAGCUUGUUGGUGGGGUAACGGCUCACCAAGGCGACGAUCCCUAGCUGGUCUGAGAGGAUGACCAGCCACACUGGAACUGAGACACGGUCCAGACUCCUACGGGAGGCAGCAGUGGGGAAUAUUGCACAAUGGGCGCAAGCCUGAUGCAGCCAUGCCGCGUGUAUGAAGAAGGCCUUCGGGUUGUAAAGUACUUUCAGCGGGGAGGAAGGGAGUAAAGUUAAUACCUUUGCUCAUUGACGUUACCCGCAGAAGAAGCACCGGCUAACUCCGUGCCAGCAGCCGCGGUAAUACGGAGGGUGCAAGCGUUAAUCGGAAUUACUGGGCGUAAAGCGCACGCAGGCGGUUUGUUAAGUCAGAUGUGAAAUCCCCGGGCUCAACCUGGGAACUGCAUCUGAUACUGGCAAGCUUGAGUCUCGUAGAGGGGGGUAGAAUUCCAGGUGUAGCGGUGAAAUGCGUAGAGAUCUGGAGGAAUACCGGUGGCGAAAGCGGCCCCCUGGACGAAGACUGACGCUCAGGUGCGAAAGCGUGGGGAGCAAACAGGAUUAGAUACCCUGGUAGUCCACGCCGUAAACGAUGUCGACUUGGAGGUUGUGCCCUUGAGGCGUGGCUUCCGGAGCUAACGCGUUAAGUCGACCGCCUGGGGAGUACGGCCGCAAGGUUAAAACUCAAAUGAAUUGACGGGGGCCCGCACAAGCGGUGGAGCAUGUGGUUUAAUUCGAUGCAACGCGAAGAACCUUACCUGGUCUUGACAUCCACGGAAGUUUUCAGAGAUGAGAAUGUGCCUUCGGGAACCGUGAGACAGGUGCUGCAUGGCUGUCGUCAGCUCGUGUUGUGAAAUGUUUGGGUUAAGUCCCGCAACGAGCGCAACCCUUAUCCUUUGUUGCCAGCGGUCCGGCCGGGAACUCAAAGGAGACUGCCAGUGAUAAACUGGAGG
rnacentral:rRNA from 1 species